GGAGCGAUUGAUUUUACUAUAUCAUAUCCUCCCCUGCUAAGGGAGUAGUGUCAGUGAUGGCAGCCCGGGUUCAAAUCCCGGCUUCUCCG
rnacentral:tRNA from 2 species